AGCUCUAAUAGCGUAUAUUAUAGUUGUUGCAGUUAAAAAGCUCGUAGUUGAAGUUCAGGAUUGAAGUAGUCGGUCCGCCGUAAGGCGUGUACUGAUUGCUCCAUCCUCCUUAUGGGAUACUUCUCGUUGCUCUUAACUGAGUGGCGAUAAAAAUCCGGUUUACGCCGGAUGGGGUUCCCAUUCAUUUACUUUGAAUAAAUUGGAGUGUUCAAAGCAGGCACAAAGGGCCUUGUACACAUCAGCAUGGGAUAAUGGAAUAUGAUUCGUGUUCUUAUUUCGUUGGUUUCUAGGACAUGAGUAAUGAUUAAAAGGGAUAGUUGGGGGCAUUAGUAUUUAAUUGUCAGAGGUGAAAUUCUCGGAUUUAUGAAAGACUAACUUCUGCGAAAGCAUUUGCCAAGGAUGUUUUCA
rnacentral:rRNA from 1 species